rnacentral:rRNA from 1 species
UGGGGGAUAUUGCGCAAUGGAGGAAACUCUGACACAGCAACGCCGCGUGAAGGAAGAAGGUCUUCGGAUUGUAAACUUUUGUCUUCGGGGACGAUAAUGACGGUACCCGAGGAGGAAGCCACGGCUAACUACGUGCCAGCAGCCGCGGUAAUACGUAGGUGGCGAGCGUUGUCCGGAAUUACUGGGUGUAAAGGGUGCGUAGGCGGGUUGACAAGUCAGAUGUGAAAUCCCAUGGCUUAACUGUGGGACUGCAUUUGAAACUGUUGGCCUUGAGUGCAGGAGAGGUAAGCGGAAUUCCCAGUGUAGCGGUGAAAUGCGUAGAUAUUGGGAGGAACACCAGUGGCGAAGGCGGCUUACUGGACUGCAACUGACGCUGAUGCACGAAAGCGUAGGGAUCAAACA